AUUGAACGCUGGCGGUAGGCUUAACACAUGCAAGUCGAGCGGAGAUGAGGUGCUUGCACCUUAUCUUAGCGGCGGACGGGUGAGUAAUGCUUAGGAAUCUGCCUAUUAGUGGGGGACAACAUUCCGAAAGGAAUGCUAAUACCGCAUACGUCCUACGGGAGAAAGCAGGGGACCUUCGGGCCUUGCGCUAAUAGAUGAGCCUAAGUCGGAUUAGCUAGUUGGUGGGGUAAAGGCCUACCAAGGCGACGAUCUGUAGCGGGUCUGAGAGGAUGAGCCGCCACACGGGGACUGAGACACGGCCCAGACUCCUACGGGAGGCAGCAGUGGGGAAUAUUGGACAAUGGGCGGAAGCCUGAUCCAGCCAUGCCGCGUGUGUGAAGAAGGCCUUUUGGUUGUAAAGCACUUUAAGCGAGGAGGAGGCUACUAGUACUAAUACUACUGGAUAGUGGACGUUACUCGCAGAAUAAGCACCGGCUAACUCUGUGCCAGCCGCCGCGGUAAAAC
rnacentral:rRNA from 1 species